UUGAUAGAGGUGCGGAUUUAAAGAGUCGUUUUGCGUGAGAACACCCGGUUCGUCCGCAGCGUAGAACAAAAGGUAAAUCCGCCGAAGAAACUGAAACCAGGGAUCGUUUUGGUUUUUGGGUGCAUUCCUGAACAAGGCUGCAACUGUCAUCAUAAUCGUAUGAUGGAGUGCUAUCGC
rnacentral:ncRNA from 1 species